rnacentral:rRNA from 1 species
UGGGGAAUUUUGGACAAUGGGCGAAAGCCUGAUCCAGCAAUGCCGCGUGUGUGAAGAAGGCCUUCGGGUUGUAAAGCACUUUUGUCCGGAAAGAAAUCCUUGGCUCUAAUACAGUCGGGGGAUGACGGUACCGGAAGAAUAAGCACCGGCUAACUACGUGCCAGCAGCCGCGGUAAUACGUAGGGUGCAAGCGUUAAUCGGAAUUACUGGGCGUAAAGCGUGCGCAGGCGGUUUGCUAAGACCGAUGUGAAAUCCCCGGGCUCAACCUGGGAACUGCAUUGGUGACUGGCAGGCUAGAGUAUGGCAGAGGGGGGUAGAAUUCCACGUGUAGCAGUGAAAUGCGUAGAGAUGUGGAGGAAUACCGAUGGCGAAGGCAGCCCCCUGGGCCAAAUACUGACGCUCAUGCACGAAAGCGUGGGGGAGCAAACAGGAUUAGAUACCCUGGUAGUCCAGCGCCCUAAAACGAUGUCAACUAGUUGUUGGGGAUUCAAUUUCCUUAGUAACGUAGCUAACGCGUGAAGUUGACCGCCUGGGGAGUAC